rnacentral:lncRNA from 1 species
CACAAAAGCCAGUAUUAAAAAUACUUCUGUAGCACAAGUUUGCAAAUGAUGAAAUAUUACUUUUCUCCUAGUAAUUUACUUUCUGAGCACAAUGCUAUCUGGAAAAAGCUUUGUUAGUAAUUAACAUAAAGGAUACUUUGCCUCAUUGUAAAUUGGUUCUUUAUCCUAGAAUGGUUUCUGGACCAAGUCAUAAAGCCCACAUUGUGCUUCUGAAUGGAAGCAUUUUUUAAACAGGCUUCUGUUGCUUUCUUCUUUGCUUGUGUUGUUCUCUUUACCAGAGUUUUCAACCUUCUCAUUUAUGUUCACAGAAAGCCUAUAUAUUAAGGGAGUGAUAUUUUUCAUACUUGCUAAAUUAUUUUCCUUAUUAAUAAACUGAUUUUUCUCUGGGAGCUGUCCACUAUUUUGGCAUCAGAGAAGGAGAGAAGAAGAAUGCUCUCUUUGAAAAGAGGACGCUCCACGUCUGUGGGCGCCUCUCUGUGCUGGCCGAGGCUCGGCCCACUCAGGAUGUGCUGCUGCCGCCUGGUCCCCAGGCCGGCCUGCCCUCUUCCACGAGACGUGGAGACGCGCGAUCCAUUCACAGGGAAUGUGAAUGUCUGAUGGUGAGGAAUGCGAUGAGUCUGCCCGGUAUCUUGAAAACAGUGGUUUCUUCCCACAGAGAGAGAAAUUCCUAAUGGAAGCACCUGGGCGAUCGGUUUGCUCUGUGCCUUUAGAACCUGAGCUGUGCGUUCGGGCUAAGAGCACCUCGGUCUGGUAAGGAAGCACAGGUACAUGUGUGCUAUUUUCCUUUCUUUGACUUAAAAAUUUACAUUGCUCGUUCCGUUUUCAAGGAGAGGAAAUGGAAAUAGACAAGGACUGAUGUCAGUUAGAAACACCUGGAUUAUGAGCUGAGUGGAAAGGCAUGUGGCCCCAAUCACCUUCCCUUAAACUCAAUCCUGAACGUAAACUUCACUAUUGAUUAGGGGUUACCGUUUCUUACUAGUUACAUAACAACCAUGCCAUUAAUAAAAGUCCCAUUUUAAGUAUUUUCA